UAUUACUAAUGAUUGAGUAUGAAAAACUUAUAGAUAAUUAAGAUAACUUCAGAAACUUAAGAAUUAUUCUAUGUGGUGUCACAGAAUCGGAGGCCCCGACUGUUUACUAUAAACACAGACACCUGCAACGAUGCAUUUCUGUGUAUAGGUGUUGAAUUUUGCCCGAUGCCAUUAAUAUAAAGAAGGCGAGUCACUUUGCUAACUGAAGUUCUGGUCAAUGGCGGUCUUAACUAUAAGGAUCCUAAGGUAGCGAAAUUUAUUGUCCGUUAAAUGCGGUCCUGCAUGAAUAAAGUAACGAUGGUCUCACUGUCUCUACAAGUAUCUCAGAGAAACUGAAUUAGCCGUGCAGAUUCUGUCUGCCCUAG
rnacentral:rRNA from 1 species